GAUGAACGCUGGCGGCGUGCCUAAUACAUGCAAGUCGAGCGAACGGGCGAGAAGCUUGCUUCUCUGAUGUUAGCGGCGGACGGGUGAGUAACACGUGGAUAACCUACCUAUAAGACUGGGAUAACUUCGGGAAACCGGAGCUAAUACCGGAUAAUAUUUUGAACCGCAUGGUUCAAAAGUGAAAGACGGUCUUGCUGUCACUUAUAGAUGGAUCCGCGCUGCAUUAGCUAGUUGGUAAGGUAACGGCUUACCAAGGCAACGAUGCAUAGCCGACCUGAGAGGGUGAUCGGACACACUGGAACUGAGACACGGUCCAGACUCCUACGGGAGGCAGCAGUAGGGAAUCUUCCGCAAUGGGAGAAAGCCUGACGGAGCAACGCCGCGUGAGUGAUGAAGGUCUUCGGAUCGUAAAACUCUGUUAUUAGGGAAGAACAUAUGUGUAAGUAACUGUGCACAUCUUGACGGUACCUAAUCAGAAAGCCACGGCUAACUACGUG
rnacentral:rRNA from 1 species